rnacentral:rRNA from 1 species
CAAUAGCGUAUAUUAAAGUUGUUGCAGUUAAAAAGCUCGUAGUUGGAUUUGUGGUUCGUUCUUGUGGCCUUUCCUUUGUUGGUUAGCGCUGUUGAGUUCGUCCAUCCUUGGGUGGAAUCUGUGUGGCAUUAGGUUGUCGCGCAGGGGAUGCCCAUCGUUUACUGUGAAAAAAUUAGAGUGUUCAAAGCAGGCUUAUGCCGUUGAAUAUAUUAGCAUGGAAUAAUGAUAUAGGACCUUGGUACUAUUUUGUUGGUUUGCGCACUGAGGUAAUGAUUAACAGGGACAGUUGGGGGUAUUCGUAUUCCAUUGUAAGAGGUGAAAUUCUUAGAUUUUUGGAAGACGAACUACUGCGAAAGCAUUUACCAAGGAUGUUUUCAUUA